GGCAGGGUGGCCUAAUGGAAAGAGUAUGGGACUGGAAGUCAGAAGACCUGGGUUAGUCCCAGCUCUGCCA
rnacentral:tRNA from 1 species